rnacentral:rRNA from 1 species
UUGAGCGAUUUACUUCGGUAAAGAGCGGCGGACGGGUGAGUAACGCGUGGGUAACCUACCCUGUACACACGGAUAACAUACCGAAAGGUAUGCUAAUACGGGAUAAUAUAUUUGAGAGGCAUCUCUUGAAUAUCAAAGGUGAGCCAGUACAGGAUGGACCCGCGUCUGAUUAGCUAGUUGGUAAGGUAACGGCUUACCAAGGCGACGAUCAGUAGCCGACCUGAGAGGGUGAUCGGCCACAUUGGAACUGAGACACGGUCCAAACUCCUACGGGAGGCAGCCGUGGGGAAUAUUGCACAAUGGGCGAAAGCCUGAUGCAGCAACGCCGCGUGAGUGAUGAAGGCCUUCGGGUCGUAAAACUCUGUCCUCAAGGAAGAUAAUGACGGUACUUGAGGAGGAAGCCCCGGCUAACUACGUGCCAGCAGCCGCGGUAAUACGUAGGGGGCUAGCGUUAUCCGGAUUUACUGGGCGUAAAGGGUGCGUAGGCGGUCUUUCAAGUCAGGAGUGAAAGGCUACG